rnacentral:rRNA from 1 species
CCUACGGGUGGCAGCAGUGAGGAAUAUUGGUCAAUGGGCGGGAGCCUGAACCAGCCAAGCCGCGUGAGGGAAGAAGGUACAGCGUAUCGUAAACCUCUUUUGUCAGGGAACAAAGGCGGGGACUAGUCCCCGGAUGAGGGUACCUGAAGAAAAAGCAUCGCCUAACUCCGUGCCAGCAGCCCCGGUAAUACGGAGGAUGCGAGCGUUAUCCGGAUUUAUUGGGUUUAAAGGGUGCGCAGGCGGCUUGUUAAGUCAGCGGGAAAAGCCCGGGGCUCAACCCCGGCGCGCCGUUGAAACUGGCGGGCGGGAGUUGGAGAGAAGUACGCGGAAUGCGCGGUGUAGCGGUGAAAUGCUUAGAUAUCGCGAAGAACCCCGAUUGCGAAGGCAGCGUACCGGCUCCACACUGACGCUGAGGCACGAAAGCGUGGGUAUCGAACAGGAUUAGAUACCCCAGUAGUC